GAUGAACGCUGGCGGCGUGCCUAAUACAUGCAAGUCGAGCGAACAGAUGAGGAGCUUGCUCCUCUCUCGUUAGCGGCGGACGGGUGAGUAACACGUGGAUCACCUCCCUAUAAGACUGGGAUAACUUCGGGAAACCGGCGCUAAUCCCGGAUAAUAUAUUGAUCCGCAUGGUUCAAUGGUGAAAGACGGUUUUUCUGUCACUUCUAGAUGGAUCCGCGCCUCAUUGGCUAGUUGGUGGGGUAACAGCUUUCCAAGGCGACGCUGCGUAGCCGACCUUGGGGGGGGAACGGCGACACAGAAGGUGAGACACGGCACAGGCACCUACGCGCGGCAGCAGUAGGGAAGCUACCGCAAAGGGCGAAAGCCUGACGGAGCGACGGCGGGCGAGUGAAGCAGGGCUGCGGAUCGUAAAACGCUGUUAGGAGUGAAGAACAAAUGUGUAAGUAACGAUGCACGUCUGGACGGUACCUAAUCAGAAAGCCACGGUUAACUCCGU
rnacentral:rRNA from 1 species